rnacentral:rRNA from 1 species
GCUUAGAAGCAGCCACCCUUGAAAGAGUGCGUAAUAGCUCACUGGUCAAGUGAUUGUGCGCCGAUAAUGUAGCGGGGCUCAAGCACACCGCCGAAGCCGCGGCAACGCAGCAAUGCGUUGGGUAGGGGAGCGUCCUGCAUCCGGUGAAGCCACGGAGUGAUCCAGUGGUGGAGGGUGUGGGAGUGAGAAUGCAGGCAUGAGUAGCGAUAAGGCAAGUGAGAACCUUGCCCGCCGAAAGACCAAGGGUUCCUGGGGCAGGCCAGUCCGCCCAGGGUGAGUCGGGACCUAAGGCGAGGCCGACAGGCGUAGUCGAUGGACAACGGGUUGAUAUUCCCGUACCCGUGUGUGAGCGCCCAAUGACGAAUCAUCGGUACUAACCGCCCAAAAGGUGACUAACCGAGUCCUUUUAGGACAAGGGGGUCGCCGGCUGCGCGGGACCUUCGGUGGUAGUAGUCAAGCGAUGGGGUGACGCAGGAAGGUAGCCGUACCAGUCAGUGGUAAUACUGGGGCAAGCCGGUAGGAAGAACGAUAGGCAAAUCCGUCGUUCACAUAUUCCGAGAGGUGAUGCAUAGCCGAGUGAGGCGAAUUCGGUGAUCCUAUGCUGCCAAGAAAAGCCUCUAGCGAGUGCGCACACGGCCCGUACCCCAAACCAACACAGGUGGUCAGGUAGAGAAUACCAAGGCGUACGAGUGAACUAUGGUUAAGGAACUCGGCAAAAUACCCCCGUAACUUCGGGAGAAGGGGGACCCCAACACCGUCAUGGCCCUUUGCGGCCGGCAGCGGGAUGGGGUGGCACAAACCAGUGAGAAGCGACUGUUUACUAAAAACACAGGUCCGUGCGAAGUCGCAAGACGAUGUAUACGGACUGACGCCUGCCCGGUGCUGGAAGGUUAAGAGGACCCGUUAACCCCUUCGGGGGUGAAGCGGAGAAUUUAAGCCCCAGUAAACGGCGGUGGUAACUAUAACCAUCCUAAGGUAGCGAAAUUCCUUGUCGGGUAAGUUCCGACCUGCACGAAUGGCGUAACGACUUCUCAACUGUCUCAACCAUAGACUCGGCGAAAUUGCACUACGAGUAAAGAUGCUCGUUACGCGCGGCAGGACGAAAAGACCCCGGGACCUUCACUACAACUUGGUAUUGGUGUUUGGUUCGGUUUGUGUAGGAUAGGUGGGAGACUGUGAAACCCGCACGCCAGUGUGGGCGGAGUCAUUGUUGAAAUACCACUCUGAUCGUAUUGAACCUCUAACCUCGAACCGUGAACCCGGUUCAGGGACAGUGCCUGGUGGGUAGUUUAACUGGGGCGGUUGCCUCCCAAAAUGUAACGGAGGCGCCCAAAGGUUCCCUCAACCUGGACGGCAAUCAGGUGUUGAGUGCAAGUGCACAAGGGAGCUUGACUGCAAGACGGACAUGUCAAGCAGGGACGAAAGUCGGGACUAGUGAUCCGGCACCCCCGAGUGGAAGGGGUGUCGCUCAACGGAUAAAAGGUACCCCGGGGAUAACAGGCUGAUCUUCCCCAAGAGUCCAUAUCGACGGGAUGGUUUGGCACCUCGAUGUCGGCUCGUCGCAUCCUGGGGCUGGAGCAGGUCCCAAGGGUUGGGCUGUUCGCCCAUUAAAGCGGCACGCGAGCUGGGUUUAGAACGUCGUGAGACAGUUCGGUCUCUAUCCGCCGCGCGCGUCAGAAGCUUGAGGAAACCUGUCCCUAGUACGAGAGGACCGGGACGGACGAACCUCUGGUCCACCAGUUGUCCCACCAGGGGCACCGCUGGAUAGCCACGUUCGGACAGGAUAACCGCUGAAAGCAUCUAAGCGGGAAACCCCCUCCAAGACCAGGCUUCUCACCUUUUAAGAAGGAUAAGGCCCCCCGCAGACCACGGGAUCGAUAGACCAGACCUACACGCACCGCAAGGUGUUCAGGGAACUGGCACUAACCGGCCGAAAACUUACAACA